AGUUUGAUCCUGGCUCAGGAUGAACGCUGGCGGCGUGCCUAAUACAUGCAAGUCGAACGAAUCUCUUUUAGAGAUGAGUGGCGAACGGGUGAGUAAUACAUAGGUAACCUGCCCCUGUGCGGGGGAUAACAGGAGGAAACUCCUGCUAAUACCGCAUAGCCAUGAGCACCGCAUGGAGCUCAUGCCAAAUAUCCUUUCGGGGAUAGCGCAGGGAUGGACCUAUGGCGCAUUAGCUUGUUGGCGGGGCAACGGCCCACCAAGGCAACGAUGCGUAGCCGGCCUGAGAGGGCGGACGGCCACAUUGGGACUGAGACACGGCCCAGACUCCUACGGGAGGCAGCAGUAGGGAAUUUUCGGCAAUGGGGGAAACCCUGACCGAGCAACGCCGCGUGAGCGAAGAAGGCCUUCGGGUCGUAAAGCUCUGUUGUAAAGGAAGAACGGCGCAUACAGGAAAUGGUAUGCGAGUGACGGUACUUUACCAGAAAGCCACGGCUAACUACGUGCCAGCAGCCGCGGUAAUACGUAGGUGGCGAGCGUUAUCCGGAAUCAUUGGGCGUAAAGAGGGAGCAGGCGGCCGCAAGGGUCUGUGGUGAAAGACCGAAGCUAAACUUCGGUAAGCCAUGGAAACCGGGCGGCUAGAGUGCGGAAGAGGAUCGUGGAAUUCCAUGUGUAGCGGUGAAAUGCGUAGAUAUAUGGAGGAACACCAGUGGCGAAGGCGACGGUCUGGGCCGCAACUGACGCUCAUUCCCGAAAGCGUGGGGAGCAAAUAGGAUUAGAUACCCUAGUAGUCCACGCCGUAAACGAUGGUCACUAAGUGUCGGGGGUCAAACCCCGGUGCUGCAGUCAACGCAAUAAGUGACCCGCCUGAGUA
rnacentral:rRNA from 1 species